AAUCCGUGUUGUGGACACUUCCGCAAGUGAUCCUUGAAUUGCUCCCACAUCUCAAACAAGGAUUUAAGAUCCAUCUGAACAAAUGACGAUAUCUCAUUACGAAGCUU